GCUUGACCUCAAAUCAGGUAGGAUUACCCNCUGAACUUAAGCAUAUCAUAG
rnacentral:rRNA from 1 species